UACGGGGGGGAGCAAGCGUUGUUCGGAUUUACUGGGCGUAAAGGGCGCGUAGGCGGUCAGCACAAGUCAGUUGUGAAAUCUCCGGGCUUAACUCGGAAAGGUCAACUGAUACUGUGCGACUAGAGUGCGGAAGGGGCAACUGGAAUUCUCGGUGUGCGAUGAAAUGCGUAGAGAUCAUGAGGAAGACCAGUGCGAAGGCGGGUCUCUGGACAGUUUCCUGACACUGAGGCACGAAGGCCCAGGGGGGAGCAAAACGGGG
rnacentral:rRNA from 1 species